GAUACUUAUAGGUUCAGGAUUCCGAUCGUCACUCUUAAGUUUAAGGGGAUAGCAGGAAAGUACUGUACCCCCCCGGAUGUCGUCAAGGUUAUGAAGGAACCCCCAAGAAUCCUAAGAUCCUAUACCAUAGAUUAUAUUACCUUUCCGUAGACCAAAGACAGGGUAGUGUUUGUCAACUUAAUCGGCAACUGGAACAAAGGAUACUGUGCAUUGAGUGUGGUCAAACCUUCCACUCUACCUCUCUUCUCCUUUGCCUCUUCCUAGGACCCACCUGAGCAUCCACUAGUACCCUACGACUCCAGCUCGAAAACGAGCCUCCGGAAGCCUUGGAGCUGAAAAUGUAAGAAGAGGUGCUAACCGUUGACGAUCUGUAGGAGCCUUAGUUUUAAGCACAGCCUCGAAAUCCCAGAAGAACUUACCUUUCGAAUUUUUCAUGGACAUCAUACGCUAAGCAAUAGUUCAAUCAAAGGCUAAUGACAUCAAAUCAGUAACUGAAGUAAUCAACAUUACUGCGUAUUUAGGAUCAAAAGAUUUCUUGAAUAUUGAAGAGACUUAUGAAAUCAUCAUAGGCUUAUUGAACAAACUACUUGCAUCCCCAGACUUGGAGCCAACUCAUUUUCCAAAAUUGUAUUUCAUCAUAGAACAGAUCUCAUUAUUCUUCAAGAAAACCAAUAGUAAGAGAUUUUCACCUUGUCUUCUCUCUGUUUGUCUUAUAAGGCAAAAUGUUAGUAAGUCCCUCUAUGAUAAAAUCUUCAAGUUGAAUUACCUUACCGUUUCAUGUCCAGAGGAUCUUAGAACUCUGUCUGCUGCAGUUACCGUAGAGAUUGGACUACCGUCGUAUAAGUUAAAUAUCUAUGGAACAAGGAUCGAACACUUCAACAGCAGAGAGCGUAAUGUCAAUCUUAUAAUCGAUGAGGUCUACUACGCAGAAAGAAUUGAGUUUGUUAGAGGUAAGUUCUUAGGCUCUGAGAACAACCAAACAACUAAAACGGUCCUUACAUUUAUGAUCAAAUCCGUAGGAGGACACUGCAUUGAUGUGGUAGCACUUAUACCGGUUCCCAAAUAAAACGCUGAAUUCCUCUAUGGCAAAUAUAAUGAUAACCCUCUACCAAAAUCGGAUUUAUCGUUGUGGCCAUAUUAGUUGAUAACCACCCGGUCAACAAGCAGUUAUUCACUCAUUUUCUUUGUGGUGGUGUGCUCCAGACUACAAUUACUCACCCACACAACAUCAAUAAAAAAGUUCAUCUCAUCUUCGACCCUGUACACAAUUUCAAAAAUAUUUAUAACUGCUUCGAGAGGCAAGAAUACUUCAGUAUUUCCCUGAAUUGUUACGGACUUAAAUCAUCAUUAUACCCUAACUUUGCUCAUAUCAAAGAAAUCCAACAUAAAGGGUCAAGAAAGAGCCCAGAAACUACAAUCGAAGCAGUAGUUGAUACUGUGUGUGAUUAAGGUCACAAAUGGGAAAACAUUCUUGACCAGAUUUCACAGAUCCUCUUCAACGUGAUGGCAAGAAUUUGGUUUCUCAACUCAAUGACAACAUCCGACGGAAAAAGAUCAUCUGAAAAUAAGCUCAAAUCUAGUAAGGUUCCCAAACAUUUUUUGGUGUCUGCAUCUAUUUUUGAAAUAAUUAAUUUACAUUAUAUUGAUGAUUUAUUGCAGCUUAUUUAGUUCUUAUCAAUUGUCCUCUUAUGAAUAACUAUUUAUAUAUUUCAACUCAUACAAUCUGUAUUGAAAAACCGUAUUAAUAUAUUUUCUUUUUUUUUUAAAACCAUAUUCGUGAACUACUUCUAAGACAGUACUUGGAGCGCGAGCUUUCUAUUUCCGUUGCCCUGGUGCUUGAGAAUUCCAUGGUUAGGAUACAAACCUGUUACUACCUUAUGGUUGAAACGCGGAACGGUAAGAAAAUAAUGGCUGAACGAUAAACGCUAAAUGAAAAAAGAAAUUGAAUGGAAAGUCAAAAUAGCGGAACGCUUUCAACCCUGUAAAUAGGUAUUCCAGGAUAGAUUAGUGUUCAAUUUUCUACAUACCUAUUCCUUUCUUAUUUAUAUUAGGGAAUACUUUAAUAAAAUUUUUAUGAAAUUUAUUUCAGACACAAAGAUGAAUGUACUGUAAAAUCUAACAAAUUCACGGGAAUGCUUAUAAAUGUAUAAAAUAGCAAUUUUUUGGUCCCUGAAAUGCUUGUUCUCAUCCUCAGGGCAGUGAUGUUAGGACCAAAUACAGCGUAAUAAAUAAGGUGUUAAUGUCAUAGUUUAUUUUUGGUUCCUUUACUUCCGAUUUUAUUUAACUGG
rnacentral:lncRNA from 1 species